rnacentral:rRNA from 1 species
UACGUAGGGGGCAAGCGUUGUCCGGAAUCAUUGGGCGUAAAGCGCGUGUAGGCGGUUCGAUAAGUCUGCUGUGAAAGUCCAGGGCUCAACCCUGGAAAGCCGGUGGAUACUGUCGGACUAGAGUGCGGAAGAGGCGAGUGGAAUUCCCGGUGUAGCGGUGAAAUGCGCAGAUAUCGGGAGGAACACCAAUUGCGAAGGCAGCUCGCUGGGACGUGACUGACGCUGAGACGCGAAAGCGUGGGGAGCAAACAGG